UUUAUUUUGCGCUAGCGUAGCCUACCUCGUAUCCCAACAGUGCUACACAUGGCUAUUUUUGUACACUUGUGCGAAGUGUACUUGGGUGUAUUUCCUAGUCUUGAUCUAUUUAGAAAGUUGUUCCGUUGUAAGCCGCAACUCGGCGCGACUAGGACAAAAGUCUUUGGAGGGGCUGGGUUUUAGUUGAGGAACUCGGGUGCAUAUCUCGAGUAUGAUUUGCC
rnacentral:lncRNA from 1 species